rnacentral:rRNA from 1 species
UACGUAGGGAGCAAGCGUUGUCCGGCAUUAUUGGGCGUAAAGAGCUCGUAGGCGGUCUGUCGCGUCGGCUGUGAAAACCCGGGGCUCAACCCCGGGCCUGCAGUCGAUACGGGCAGACUAGAGUGCGGUAGGGGAGACUGGAAUUCCUGGUGUAGCGGUGAAAUGCGCAGAUAUCAGGAGGAACACCGGUGGCGAAGGCGGGUCUCUGGGCCGUAACUGACGCUGAGGAGCGAAAGCGUGGGGAGCGAACAGG